AAUCAAAAACACAGAGAACAAUCUGCCUGAGUUCUUGUUUAUGUAUGAAGAAAGCAGUGUCUUGGCAGAUCAGAUCCAGUGUGUACUAGAGUGUAAGUUGAUAGCAAAGCUGAGACAAGAUUUUGAUUCUCUAUUUGUGUAUGCUUGUUCUACCACUAUAGAUUUUUCUUUCUGUGCUGGGGGGGAGGGGUAGAACCCAAUGCCUUAUGCAAGCUAGCACGUCUCUCCAUCAUCAAGUUAUUUCCCUAGCUCUGAAGAGAUUAUAUAUAUAUAUAUAUAUAUAAAUUAGAGCUAGGUAUGCCAGUACACAAUCGUAGCCCCAGCACUUCUGAGUUGGAGGUUGGGUGAUCAGGUAUUUAAGGUUAUGCUCAGUUACAUAAAUCCAGUUUGGCCUACAUGAGACUCUGUUAAAAAAAAAAACAAAAACAAAAACAAAAACUUAAAACCAUGGCUGAAGUGAUGGCUCAGUGGUUACCAGCACUGGCUGCUCUUCCAGAGAUCUCAAGUUCAAUUCCCAGCAACCACAUGGCGGCUCACAACCAUCUGUAAUGAAAUCUGAUUCCCUCUUCUGGUGUGUCUGAAGACAGAACACUUACAUACAUAAAAUAAAUAAACAAACCUAAAAACUAAAGCAGAUAAAAAUAUGAGGUAUGGCAAUAAGUUGUUCAUUCAUAUCAUGUUAAAUCAAGCAGUUUUAUGAUGGUCCGUUCUUUUUUUCCAUUAAUAUAACCAUGACCAUAUAACUAGAACGGAAACAAGGAGACAUUAGUUGCUGUGAUAUACGAGUCACUAUGAUUUAGCGCAUGCGUUUCCUUUUCAGAAAUAGUCUGGUUUCCAAUGAGUCCACUGAACAAAUUCUUCUCAAGAAUGUGCACUAUAUCAGUCUUCAGAGACUAUUUGAUUCAACAAAGAAGAUGGAUUCCCUUCCCUGCGUCACAGAAGUCCAGAUAGGGAAACCGCAGCAAUGUUUACUGUAGUUCCUGACUCCCUUCUUUUCUGCUGAAGUGAGUUCUCCCCUCUUCCUUUCCUCCUCCUUCCCUCCAAAACUAUCCUCUUCCUCCUCUCCUGCUCUCCCUUCCAAUCAUCCAUUCCCACCUACCAGGUUCUCAGAAUGUAGUCCAGACUGCUUUCAAACGUAGUCAUCCUGCUCAGCCUCUGAGGGCAUGGAUUGCGGGUGUGCUCCAUCAAACCCAAUGGCGUUUUCAUGUUGCUCCCCAAAAUGGUUGUUGGUCUGUCUGUCUUCUCUCUCUCUCUCUCUCUCUCCCCCCCCUCCCUCUCUCGCUCGCCUUGAACUCAAGAGAUAUAUCUGCCUGACUCUGCC
rnacentral:lncRNA from 1 species